rnacentral:rRNA from 1 species
UACGUAGGGGGCAAGCGUUGUCCGGAUUUAUUGGGCGUAAAGAGCGUGUAGGCGGUCAGGUAGGUCCGUUGUGAAAACUCGAGGCUCAACCUCGAGACGCCGAUGGAAACCAUCUGACUAGAGUCCGGAAGAGGAGAGUGGGAAUUCCUGGUGUGAGCGGUGAAAUGCGGCAGAUAAUCAGGAGGAACACCGGUGGCGAAGGCG